rnacentral:rRNA from 1 species
UCCUCCAAGGCUAAAUACUCCUGACUGACCGAUAGUGAACCAGUACCGUGAGGGAAAGGCGAAAAGAACCCCGGCGAGGGGAGUGAAAAAGAACCUGAAACCGUGUACGUACAAGCAGUGGGAGCACCCUUUGGGGUGUGACUGCGUACCUUUUGUAUAAUGGGUCAGCGACUUAUAUUCUGUAGCAAGGUUAACCGAAUAGGGGAGCCGCAGGGAAACCGAGUCUUAAUUGGGCGUUAAGUUGCAGGGUAUAGACCCGAAACCCGGUGAUCUAGCCAUGGGCAGGUUGAAGGUUGGGUAACACUAACUGGAGGACCGAACCGACUAAUGUUGAAAAAUUAGCGGAUGACCUGUGGCUGGGGGUGAAAGGCCAAUCAAACCGGGAGAUAGCUGGUUCUCCCCGAAAGCUAUUUAGGUAGCGCCUCGUGAAUUCAUCUCCGGGGGUAGAGCACUGUUUCGGCUAGGGGGCCAUCCCGGCUUACCAACCCGAUGCAAACUGCGAAUACCGGAGAAUGUUAUCACGGGAGACACACGGCGGGUGCUAACGUCCGUCGUGAAGAGGGAAACAACCCAGACCGCCAGCUAAGGUCCCAAAGUCAUGGUUAAGUGGGAAACGAUGUGGGAAGGCCCAGACAGCCAGGAUGUUGGCUUAGAAGCAGCCAUCAUUUAAAGAAAGCGUAAUAGCUCACUGGUCGAGUCGGCCUGCGCGGAAGAUGUAACGGGGCUAAACCAUGCACCGAAGCUGCGGCAGCGA